rnacentral:rRNA from 1 species
UACGUAGGGUGCAAGCGUUGUUCGGAAUUAUUGGGCGUAAAGAGCUCGUAGGCGGUCUGUUGCGUCGGCUGUGAAAACCCGGGGCUCAACCCCGGGCCUGCAGCCGAUACGGGCAGACUAGAGUUCGGCAGGGGAGACUGGAAUUCCUGGUGUAGCGGUGAAAUGCGCAGAUAUCAGGAGGAACACCGGUGGCGAAGGCGGGUCUCUGGGCCGAUACUGACGCUGAGGAGCGAAAGCGUGGGGAGCGAACAGG